AGUCGUCCACUGACGUCUUUUACACGUCUAGUCAAGGCUGUGAAUAGUCGUCCACUGACGUCUUUUACACGUCUAGUCAAGCAAAACAGAAAAAAACAGGAAUUAUCUUUAUGAAAUACACGAUUUGUAUACAAAGUACAUAUAUUUACUUUAUCUUGUUUAAAUAAAUUAUAAUUACACAGUGCCCAGUGUGGUUAAGUGAUUGCAAAGCCACUGCAUUUUAGUCAUUAUUUCAACCUGUUGUACCUGAUGUAUUUGGUUUUUUUUUUAUGGAAUGUAUGCAUAUACAUGUAAAAUAUAAAUAUAUCACCAUUUAUGUCUGAGUUGGAUGUAAUUGCCAUUGACAGGGAAACUGCUGCCAAGAUGUAGUAACAAAAGAUCUUGCGAUAUUACAAAAUCCCGCGAUAGGAUAGAUUAUCUCACGAGAUGUUAACGCGUUCUCCCCAUAGACUCUGGGACCCGGAACUUGAACAACCAUGAGGAGAGGAGGAAUUGAGUUGUAUCGAUAAUAUUAUUAAAAAUCUACUGUUGGAUGCUGUGGUGGAGCCCAAAUUCAACUGAAUCAGAAAUUGAUGCCGCUAUGGCGGAACACUUGAAACAUGCUCCAGGAAGAGCUGGGGGUGGGGGUUAUAAAAAAUAACUUUUCUGGUGCAAAAGAUGUUGCAAAAAGAUGUCUGCAAAAAGAUGUCUGGCAAAAGAUGCUACAUAAAGGGAGAUAUUUGUGACAGUGUUAUUGAACUGAACUAAAUUAACGGAAUUGAGCUAAAACUGAAUUUGUUUCGUGAUGAACACGUUUUUCCUGUUUCCCGGGUGAAUCUGUAUUAUAUAAACCAUAAAAUAAAUAAAUGUGAUUUGGAAUUUUG